CCUACGGGUGGCAGCAGUGGGGAAUAUUGGGCAAUGGGCGCAAGCCUGACCCAGCAACGCCGCGUGAAGGAAGAAGGCUUUCGGGUUGUAAACCUCUUUUGUCAGGGACGAAGCAAGCGACGGUACCUGACGAAUACGCCACGGCUAACUACGUGCCCGCAGCCGCGGUAAUACGUAGGUGGCAAGCGUUAUCCGGAUUUAGUGGGUGUAAAGGGCGUGUAGGCGGGACUGCAAGUCAGAUGUGAAAACCACGGGCUCAACCUGGGGCCUGCAUUUGAAACUGUAGUUCUUGAGUGCUGGAGAGGCAGACGGAAUGCCUAGUGUAGCGGUGAAAUGCGUAGAUAUUAGGAGGAACACCAGUGGCGAAGGCGGUCUGCUGGACAGCAACUGACGCUGAGGCGCGAAAGCGUGGGGAGCAAACAGGAUUAGAUACCCUGGUAGUC
rnacentral:rRNA from 1 species